CAUUGUUGCAGCCUGAUAACUGCUGCCUCUAGGCAGUAAGUCCAUGCAAUUGUAGAACUUACUUUAAUCAUUUCUCAUGGAUCAAAGGCCUUGCUUUCUGUUUUCUUACAUCUGAAACCAAUGUUUCAUAUAUUCUGUCUGAAUUUACUGUUGUUAUAGUGGUAGGGCAAUCAGCAUGGCAAUUAGUCUGUUUUUUUUUUUUUUUUUUUUUUUUUUUUGAGAUGGAGUCUCGCUCUUGUUGCCCAGGCUGGAGUGCAAUGGUGUGAUCUCAGCUCACUGCAACCUCCGCCUCCCAGGUUCAAGCAAUUCUCCUGCCUCAACCUCCAGAGUAGCUGGGAUUACAGGUGCCAGCCACGAUGUCAGGCUAGUUUUUGCCUUUUUAGUAGAGAUGGGGGUUUCAGCAUGUUGGCCAAGCUGGUCUCGAACUCCUGAUCGCAGGUGAUCCACCUGCCUCGGCCUCUCAAAGUUCUAGGAUUACAAGUGUGAACCACCAUGCCCGGCCUACAAUUAGUCUUUUGUGAGUGGGAUCUGACAUAGUUUGAAUGUUUGUCCCCUCAAAAUCUUAUGUUGAAAUGUGAUCCCCAUUGUUGGAGGUGGGGCCUAGUGGGAGGUCAUCGGGUCAUGAGGGCGCGUCCCUUAUGAGCAGCUUGGUGCCCUCUCCAUGGUAAUGAGUGAGUUCUCUUCUGUGAGUUCAUGUAAGAUGUAGUUGUUAAAAAGAGUCUGGGACUUCCUCCUCUCUUCCUCUCUUGCUGCCUCUUUGCUUUCCAUUAUGAUUGAAAACUUCCUGAGGCCCUCCCCAGAAGCAGAUGCUGGUGCCAUGCUUCCUGUACAGCCUGCAGAACUGGGGCGGCAUCAAGUUCCACAUUUCCACUCGGGAGCCCUCCUUCUCCUGACGGCUGGGGCUGUAGGUUCCCUGAGUUGCCCUUUUGUUGGAGGUGACAACAGAAGCAACAAUGGCCAGCAAGAGGAUCAGUAACAAGGCGAGGGUCACUGAGCCAAUAGCGGUGAAAAUGUCCGAGAUCAAGUCAUCUGCCAACUGGAAAGAUCGAAAUCAUUGGGAUGAGAAUUCUACAGCAAAGGCAAAUAAAUACUCAGGAUAGUGGAACUACCCAGGAAUGAAGACCAACCAGAGCAAGCUGGUACCACUCAGUACUGUAAAAGGACCAAGAUUCCCUGCUCUCCUUCUUCUCUCCCUGUGUACUACCCAUUGCCAGAUGUAUUGAAGAAACAAACGUGUGGAUGGAAUGGUGACUUUGGGAAGAUGCUUGCAUUCUUUCAGCUGUAGAGAAUAUGUGGAAGGCACUGACUCCAGAAGCUCUCUGCAUUGCCAUGGGACUUAUGAAAGGACAGAACAUUGGAUUUCCUGCCUAGAAGCUCAGAAUGUCAGCUUCUCCUGUGGGGAGCAGUUAUUGCAGAUAAAGGUGGCUUACAGGGAUGAUGAAUUGGCAAUGAAUAGGUGGGAGUGGACAGCAUAAACCCUUCAGGUUCAACUGAAUUUGGAAAGAAGAGAACAUUUGGAAAAUUUGUUGUAAGGCUUUUCUGACAACUAGACUUGUAAAAAAAAAGAUAAGCUUUAGUGUUAUUAAUGGCACUUUUGGGGCAAAUGCAGAAAUCUUCUUCCAUGUCCCUAAACUGCUGUGGCUGCUGUAGGGCUCUUUCUACUUGUAAACUCUACUAGCUCUUUCCUGGAUCCUCCUUUUCUUCUGGUACCACCCAUUUUUCCUUGGCAUAUUUCUGCUCUCAUUGCUUAGGGCCCAUUCAAAAGUGUGUGUUGACGCUGAUUGUCUUUUGGGGCCAGUGCCUUAAGUUUCCUUUCUUCCCUGAUGUCUAUAACCCUUGUUUGGUGAUCCCUAAGGAAGGUUAUGGCUUUAAUGGAUUUUUUUCUAGAAUUUCCAUUUUCUACUCUCACAAAUCUAAAAAUGCAGUUAUGUUAAGAGGAACUAAUAAUCAACAAAAGCAAGGGAUAAUUAUAAACACGGUGUGGCACUUACACUAUUAAUAAAAACAUGGGCAUUCUGACAUUCUAAGCUCUCUUUGCUGACAGGUAUACAACUUAUUUGUGAACUUCUGCAGUGAAAAGCUGUUUAAAUUAAAUUAACACUUUGCUAGCAAAUAAACAAUCAACGAUAUGAAAAAACAUGUCAAGGAGAAAUGUGCUUUUUGUUCUUCUGAGAUAAUGCUUGCUUAUUCUUUAAGAGCUGGGUCAAAUAUCUUCUGCACGAAGCCUUUUCUACCCUACCCCCAGCCCCAGGAAUGUUCUAAUUUCUUCUGUGCACACCACAUACCAUUCUUUCAUUUGUUCAUUUAUUCGUUUGGUAAAUAGUGAAGCACUACUCUGCCAGGAAUGAUUGCCAGGUACUGAAGUUAUAAAGAUAAAGAAGAUAUUUUCUCCACCUUCCUAUAGCUCUCAGGAUGGAGGAUAAGGCAGACAAAUGAAGGCUUUUGCAGUAUAGCUAAUUGGUAAUAGAUGCAGGUGCUCCAGGAUCUGAAAGCAUGGCUCCAACUUCUGAAUUGGAGAGCCUUGGAAAAGAUACUUAGCCUCUCUCUGAUUUUGAGUUCUCAUCAACAAAAUGAGGAAAAUAAUAUUUCUUGACUCUUGGGACUUUGUGAAUAAUAAAUAAAAUAAUGCUUACAAUGACCUUAGCAUAGUUUCAGGCUCAGAGUAAGCACACAACAAAUAUUAGCCAC